rnacentral:rRNA from 1 species
UACGGGGGGAGCAAGCGUUGUUCGGAUUUACUGGGCGUAAAGCGCACGUAGGCGGCUCUUUAGGUCGGGGGUGAAAGCCCGAGGCUCAACCUCGGAACUGCCUUCGAUACUGCGGGUCUCGAGUCCGGGAGAGGUGAGUGGAAUUCCUAGUGUAAAGGUGAAAUUCGUAGAUAUUAGGAAGAACACCAGUGGCGAAGGCGGCUCACUGGCCCGGUACUGACGCUGAGGCGCGAAAGCGUGGGGAGCAAACAGG